CGGCUGCCGACCUUCAACUAUUAACCUUUCUUUUUUUUUUUCUCUCUCUUUUUUUUUCCUUCUUUAUCCUGAAAACAGCCGGUAUGGCAAGAAUGCUUUGAUCUGAAUAUUACAGGAUGGAAAAUGAAUCGGGACUGGGAGGUGAUGAGCCAGGGGAGGAAGUGGUGGGCAGCUUCGCCCUGGGUUGCAUGGAAUACAAGUAGAUUGCUCAGACUGGAAUUUCUGAUGCUGUUCACACCUCCCAGCAUGAACCUGAUACCAGACCGGUUUAUAUCAAGAAUACAAACUCUGCGCUCAGGCAAUAUUAUGCAUUAUUCCGUCAGUGCAGCUGUAAGCACCAUAGGAAUGAAGAGGAUCAAAAUGGCAAUUAAUGCUCCACUUCUAAGAAUGCCUGUCUUAGUUUCUGAAGUUUGUACUACACUCUCACUUGGCACAGCUCUGCAUUCAACACCUUUCCUUCCCAGGUUGACCACAUCUUUCUGUAAUCUCCUGCCUCCUACUUGCUUCAGUGAAGCCCUAAUCCAGCUCAGCUAUCACCCUCCACAAACAAGCAGCUCUCCAGCUGAUCUCUUUGGCUCAGAGGCUCUCUACUUCUGCUGAUGUUCUGGGUCCAUCACAAGGUCUUCGCAAACCUGGCAGUUUCUGCUAGACUAACAGCUGUCUUCAUACUCCCAUAGCUCUGGGGCUUCCUGGAGUCAGAAGCACAUCACAAAGCAAUGAAUUUCAUGACUCCCAUGUGAAAAAAUUACUGGCUUAAAUGAAGUUAGAAGAAACCUUCUGGUCCAGAGGAUGCAAGCCAACCUGCUGGGGUCCCACAGCUGAGCUGCUAAAAUUUGGCCAAAGACAAAUAAAUUCUAUAGGAGAUGGGACAUACUUGAGGUGGGGCAGAGCAGUAAGUUAUUGCUCCACACCUACUGAGUUUUCAGAUUGUCCAAAUGUCUCAGCUGAGCUGCAAGUGGUUGCUUCUUGUUUUUGGCUGGCCUCAGUUCCUCAGAGCAUUGGAAGGAGGAGAUGCAGACACAAGAAGUGUUUCCAUCACAGAAAAAGCUGAACUACAUAAUGUCUGAAAUGAUGGCUGGCGGCGUCCAGGCUUGUCUGUGUACCUAUUUGGGGAGCUGGAGAACAGCUCUGGAGGCACUUACGUGAGUCCGGAGUGUCCUUUAGGCGGAUCACUUGGAAGACAAUAAAACUGAUAUUUAGCAGAUUGCUGUCUCACACCUGAAUCGCCAGGAAGGGGUACAACAGCCUUCCCAAGAUGAAAUCCUUUGGUGAGAAAAGGAGCAAACUACAGUGAUGGAGAAAUAACUGUAACCAACCCAAAGGAUUAGGAGACAACCAAUUGCUGUCUCUACAAUACUAGAAAGUGCCUAAGUUCAUAGACCUUCAUUCUUUCCGUGCUAUUAUUCCUUUGUCAUCUUCUUA
ensembl:lncRNA